UACGUAGGGGGCAAGCGUUGUCCGGAUUUAUUGGGCGUAAAGAGCGUGUAGGCGGCUGGGUAGGUCCGUUGUGAAAACUCGAGGCUCAACCUCGAGACGCCGAUGGAAACCCCCCAGCUAGAGUCCGGAAGAGGAGAGUGGAAUUCCUGGUGUAGCGGUGAAAUGCGCAGAUAUCAGGAAGAACACCCGUGGCUAAGGCGGCUCUCUAGUACGGUACUGACGCUGAGACGCGAAAGCGUGGGGAGCGAACAGGG
rnacentral:rRNA from 1 species